rnacentral:lncRNA from 1 species
AAACGUGACCUUUCCAGUGUGUUUUUUGCUAUUAUUUUUAUAAUUUUUGACACAAUUAUUUGACAUGUUGGCAUUUACUCUUUUAGAUUUAAAUUAGUCCUACUUCACACCAACAUUCCUUUUAUGUUGUUUCACAUCUAUAAUACUCUUGUAUCAUCUAUUUUUUUUUUUGAUAAUAGUAACUUUGUAUCAUCUAUUAAAAAAGGAAACCAUAGUCCUUCCAUAUUUCGCUUCUCAUGUGUUCGUAUUGUCAUUCCUUGAACCUUUUAUUAUCAUUUUUGUGAUAACCGUGGUGUUCGAGCCAACCUGUGUACACUUCAACUAAUUCCACAAGUACUUGCUACCUCCCACCGUGCAAGUACUAGGUAACUCUUUCCACCAAAAUUUGGAUAGAUGGGAAGAAAUCAUUAGUGCUUUUGCCUGUUGAACCUAGGACCUCAUGGUUCACAACCCACUUCAUUGAUCACUAGGCCACCUCCGUGAGGGCUGAACCUUUUUACUCCCCCC